UUACCUGAUUAAAGCAGCGAUUAUUUCGUCGCACCGAAAAUUGUCGAAAACAUCGAUGAUAUGAACACGCGGCCAAGAACAACACGUGUGAAACGCGUGGCAUCGAGCAUAUUAUUCUAAAUACAAGCCGUACGAUUACGCACCCCUGUCGCGCAGCCUGUGGUCUAAUCAGUUUGUGGUCGUGAGAAGACUGACAUCUCAGCAACUAACUUCGAUAUACUCAAACACCGAAAUGGCAGAUAUACAGAUGAAUGAAGCCGACCACAUCGCCGCCGAGCCCGUGGCCG